GACGAACGCUGGCGGCGUGCUUAACACAUGCAAGUCGAACGGAAAGGCCCUGCUUUUGUGGGGUGCUCGCGUGGCGAACGGGUGAGUAACACGUGAGUAAACUGCCCUUGACUUUGGGAUAACUUCAGGAAACUGGGGCUAAUACCGGAUAGGAGUUCCUGCUGCAUGGUGGGGGUUGGAAAGUUUCGGCGGUUGGGGCUGGACUCGCGGCUUAUCAGCUUGUUGGUGGGGUAGUGGCUUACCAAGGCUUUGACGGGUAGCCGGCCUUAGAGGGUGACCGGGCACAUUGGGACUGAGAGACGGCCCAGACUCCUACGGGAGGCAGCAGUGGGGAAUAUUGCACAAUGGGCCGAAGCCUGAUGCAGCAACGCCGCGUGCGGGAUGACGGCCUUCGGGUUGUAAACCACUUUCGCCGGUGACGAAGCGUGAGUGACGGUAAUUGGUAAAGAAGCACCGGCUAACUACGUG
rnacentral:rRNA from 1 species